CACCGCUCUUUUCCUUUUCCUCCAAUGUCUUCUCCCUCUUCCCCAUUUGAUUCAACGAUUCUCCAUUUUCUCUUCCAUUUUCUCUCUCAGGUCGUAAACCAAAAAUCAUCUAAUACCCCUCGUCAGUUUUUCUCUGUCGAUCAAACCAUGGUUGUCAGGGUUGCGUUGUUGGUAGAACUUCGAGGUUUUAUCAUCAGUGGAGGUUCUACAUGCCCUCACCUUUUACACCUGUGGUUUCUUUUCUCCAAGCCCUUAACAUAUGGUGUCGUUCUGGCUCAUCCUUCUCCAGACUCCAAGCAUAUUCACCAUUCCACUGAAUAUAUAGAAUUAUGUUGUCCAAACUGAAUCAUCGGCUUUCACCGCCUCCUCUGCCUUAUCGGUCGCUAAUAGCUUAGUUGUUUUCUUCUACUGGCACUUGACCCACCUCAAAAUCUUUCCCUUAAUUAGUUCUUCUUUCUCUCCAUCGUCUUCUUCUUUCUCUAUAAAAAUGGGAACAAAAGAACAAAAACUCCAUGGAAAUGUCUUGACGAUUUGGGUAAUUUUUGUUGUAGCUUGUCUCUUGUUUCUAUUCUUGUCGGUAGUUUAAAGUUCAAUUUUCGAGUUUGGUUAUCUGAGUCUAAUUUUUUGGAACUGAAUAGUAGGUCGAUAAAUUCCACGGUCGAUCUCACACAACGUUUGAAGCCCUGUUCCCUGACUUCCUUCAUCAAUCUUGUUUUCUUGAAAAUUGAACGAGCCCUAAUUUAUUGCAAAUCACCUGAAAAUUAGGUAUUAUUGUUCUAUGAAGUUCUUUAUGUUAAUAAUAGUAUUUGUUUAUUUGUAUUAGGUUUGAUUAUCUCUGCCAUGUCAAACUCUCUAUGUUCAUCUAUUUUUCCUUCUCAUUCCAACGCUGACCAUUUAAUCUUCUUUUCUGUUGUUCUUGACUGUUCAGGUUCAAUAGGUUCUUCUCCCUCUUUUAGUUUGACUUUUUGUGGGUCUUGUUGCUAAUUAUGUUCUAUAGUUAUAUUAGAUUUUUGAUGUUCCUUUCAGGUUCCAUUUAAUUUUCAUGGCUGGUCUUUCAAGAUAAGGUUUCAGGUUUCUUUCCUUAUCCUUUUCAUCUUGAUUUUUUUAAUUUUUUUGUCUGUUCUGGAGCUGAUAGAAAGUGAUGUUUUUCUACCUCAAUUAACAUAUAAAAAGGGUUUUUUUGCUUCAAUUUCUAUAUAAAAGAACUAUAGGAAAUAGGGGAACAUAGAGACAUAUACAGGGAUGGGGGGUUAGACAAGGAAGAAAGGAAGCAAAGGACACGUAGUAAUGUUCAACUUAAAUGAUUUAAAGGAUUGUGAAGGAGGAGAUGUCAAUACACAUAGAUAAGGAAGCAACUCCAAACUCAAUAGUUCAUACAUUAAUUGAGUUGAUAAUUUGCAAUAAUUUUGGAGGGGUAAUUUAUGAUUUUUAAAGUCUCCAUCUUUUGGUAUUUGGAUGUUGCUUAAUUACCCCUAUUAGUUAACUUGUUAAAUUUUAGUCGCCUACUACUUACAACACCCAUGGAGCAGUACCAUACAUAUGUCUACUAACUUGGAGGUCGGGAAAACAUCUGCUAUACUUUAGGUCUGGUUUAAUAAGUCACUUUUGUUUGGUAAAACACGGUAAAUUGAGCUUUUUUGACAAUUUAUUUAAUUUACUAUUACAUUUUCAUGUUACCACUCCUUCCAAAGACUAUUUCAUUUGCAAAAAUGAUAGGAGAGUAUGUAGAAAGAGUAGUACAUGUAUUAUCUUGGUAACCUAAUUGUGAUAGCUCAAUUUUUUACUAGCUCAACAUUUACGUCUUCCUGGUCUAUUCGGAUGUAUAAAUUUUGACAUUCAUUACUUUGUGUUUAGGAACCAAUACCUGUACUCAUAUUACUGAUUGGGUUCUAUUUGUAUUUUAAGAACUAUUUAAAGAUUUGACCUUUUCAGUCUUUUAUAAAAAAGUGAGAUCAGUGAAACGUUUACAUACUAGAACUUUUUAUGUACAACACGACUAGAAGUUCAAGCUCCUCUAUAACAAUAGUGUUAUUUGGCUACACAUACAUACACACCUUAUAUCAACUUCCAAAAUUCUGCUCAACAACGGAAAUCAUAAAUUUCAAUAAUUGAUGUUGAGCAAUUAGAAACGAGCUUAUUUUUUUAGUUGGAGAAUAGAUAUUGGUGAAUUCCUUACAUUUGAGAACUACUCAAUUUUAUCCGGAUUGUUGAUGUAGAUGGAAUUAUAUCGGUUUGAAUCGAGUGUAGAGGAGGUGGUUUUGAUUUUGCCAAUGGCUAACGAGCAACAACAAAGGCCCUAAUCUUGGUGUUACAGUUGCUCAAAGAUUAUUUUCCUCAAACUUGCAAGCUUGAAGGCCUAUAUAUAUCACUACUCAAUCAUUUUCACAUAUUUUUACCUACACAUGCAGGUGGAUUAUAUGCAAAUUGCAGAGAACAAUGAUGUACUUUACUCUUCAUACCAACAUGGGCAAUUAACUUUACUCUUCCCAAAUUUUUGUACAAAGUUCUAAUAAAUGUAACAAAUAGUAACUUACUUAAAUUUAUUUGUGUAUUAUAGCAUUCUUCUCUUAUUUCUUUA